GAUGAAGAACGCAGCGAAAUGCGAUAAGUAAUGUGAAUUGCAGAAUUCAGUGAAUCAUCGAAUCUUUGAACGCACCUUGCGCCCUUUGGCCAUUCCGAAGGGCAUGCCUGUUUGAGUAUCAUGAACACCUCAACUCUUUAUGGUUUUCCAUGAUGAGCUUGGACUCUGGGGGUUUUGCUGGCUCACAGUCGGCUCCUCUAAAAUGAAUCAGCUUACCAGUGUUGGUGGGUAUCAUGGGUGUGAUAACUAUCUACGCUUGUGGUUUUUCCACCAGGUAACCUUCAGCAGUGGAGGUUCGCUGGAGCUCAUAGAUGUCUCUCCUCAGUGAGGACAGCCCUUUGAAUGUUUGAUCUCAAAUCAGGUAGGACUACCCGCUGAACUUAAGCAUAUCAAUAAGCGGAGGA
rnacentral:misc_RNA from 1 species